AUACCGGCGGCUCGAGUGGUGGCCACUUUUAUUGGGCUUAAAGCGUUCGUAGCUUGAAUAAUAAGUCUCUUGGGAAAUCUGCAGGCUUAACCUGCAGGCGUUUAAGAGAAACUGUUGUUCUAGGAACCGGGAGAGGUAAGAGGUACUACAGGGGUAGGAGUGAAAUCUUGUAAUCCCUGUGGGACCACCUGUGGCGAAGGCGUCUUACCAGAACGGGUUCGACGGUGAGGGACGAAAGCUGGGGGCACGAACCGGAUUAGAUACCCGGGUAGUCCCAGCCGUAAACGAUGUGCGUUAGGUGUGCCGGUGACCACGAGUCACUGGGGUGCCGAAGGGAAACCGUGAAACGUACCGCCUGGGAAGUACGGUCGCAAGGCUGAA
rnacentral:rRNA from 2 species